UACGUAGGGGGCGAGCGUUGUCCGGAGUUACUGGGCGUAAAGCGCACGUAGGCGGUCUGCUAAGUUUGGAGUGACAGUUGGUGGCUCAACCACCAAAGUGCUUUGAAAACUGACAGACUUGAGGGCUUCAGAGGGACACGGAAUUCCGGGUGGAGUGGUGAAAUGCGUAGAGAUCCGGAGGAACACCAAAGGCGAAGGCAGUGUCCUGGGGAGUACCUGACGCUCAGGUGCGAAAGCCAGGGGAGCGAGCGGG
rnacentral:rRNA from 1 species